UACAGAGGUCUCGAGCGUUAGGCGGAAUCACUGGGCUUAAAGCGUGUGUAGGUGGAUCGUUAAGUACCUUGUGAAAUCCCACGGCUUAACCGUGGAACUGCUUGGUAUACUGGCGGUCUUGAGCCAGCUAGGGGCUACCGGAACAAAUGGUGGAGCGGUGAAAUGCGUAGAUAUCAGGAAGAACACCCGUGGCGAAGGCGGCUCUCUGGGACGGUACUGGACGGCUGAGACGCGAAAGCGUGGGGAGCGAACAGG
rnacentral:rRNA from 1 species